CAGUUCGGAUUGUUAGGCUGAAACUCGCCUACAUGAAGCUGGAGUUACUAGUAAUCGCAGAUCAGAAUGCUGCGGUGAAUGCGUUCCCGGGUCUUGUACACACCGCCCGCCACACCACGGAAGUUGGGGGCGCCCGAAGCCACUUAGCUAACCCUUUUGGGAAGCGAGUGUCGAAGGUGAAAUCAAUAACUGGGGUGAAGUCGUAACAAGGUACC
rnacentral:rRNA from 1 species